rnacentral:rRNA from 1 species
GACGAACGCUGGCGGCAUGCCUAACACAUGCAAGUCGAGCGAGUUGAUCCCUUCGGGGUGAAGCUAGCGGCGGACGGGUGAGUAACACGUGGGCAACCUGCCUCAUAGAGGGGAAUAGCCUUCCGAAAGGGAGAUUAAUACCGCAUAAGAUUGCAUCUUCGCAUGAAGAAGCAAUUAAAGGAGCAAUCCGCUAUGAGAUGGGCCCGCGGCGCAUUAGCUAGUUGGUGAGGUAACGGCUCACCGAGGCGACGAUGCGUAGCCGACCUGGGAGGGUGAUCGGCCACAUUGGGACUGGGACACGGCCCAGACUCCUACGGGAGGCAGCAGUGGGGAAUAUUGCACAAUGGGGGAAACCCUGAUGCAGCAAUGCCGCGUGAGUGAUGACGGCCUUCGGGUUGUAAAGCUCUGUCUUCGGGGACGAUAAUGACGGUACCCGAGGAGGAAGCCACGGCUAACUACGUGCCAGCCGCCGCCGUAAUAC